rnacentral:tRNA from 1 species
CUGCGGUUGGAUCACCUCCUUUCUAGAGUACAAAGUAAUAAGUCUCACAACUAUUACUUCAAUAAACUCAAUCAUCCUUGUUUAGAUUUCAAAGAUUGAUGAAAAAGCUAAUUUUGGGGAAUUAGCUCAGCUGGGAGAGCGCCUGCUUUGCACGCAGGAGGUCAGCGGUUCGAUCCCGCUAUUCUCCACCAUUUUAAGGGCCUAUAGCUCAGCUGGUUAGAGUGCACCCCUGAUAAGGGUGAGGUCACAAGUUCAAGUCUUGUUAGGCCCACCAUAAAAAAGAUUUGUUUGCNAUAUAAAUAUAUAAGUUUUAAAACUUAAAGUAAGUAUAUUAAAUAUAUUUAUAAAUUAAAAAAUAUUUUAAUUAUUAAUUAUGCUUACUUUAGGUUUUAAGACCUAAGUUAAAUAAAUAAUACAAUAUUUUAUAUAUUAGAUUAGUUAUUUAAAGUUAUUUGAAUUAUCAUUGUUAAGAGUCACAAGCAAGUUUUAAUAAAACAAUUUUACAGGACUUGUUAAGAAAAAAUUAUUAUUAUCUUUGCUUUAAUCCUGAAGAUUAAGAUAGUUUUAACUCNCGCUUAUAGCUAUAUUAGUUAUAAGNGUUAANGCUUCCGCCUAANAAGNAGGNUUAUAUAAACUUACAGGAGGAGCGUUUAAAAAAGNAAAGGAGCACAAACANGNGAGCUGCGNAANNGAAAAGNGG